rnacentral:rRNA from 1 species
CCUACGGGGGGCUGCAGUGAGGAAUAUUGGUCAAUGGACGAGAGUCUGAACCAGCCAAGUAGCGUGAAGGAUGACUGCCCUAUGGGUUGUAAACUUCUUUUAUAUGGGAAUAAAACGUUCCACGUGUGGGAUUUUGUAUGUACCAUAUGAAUAAGGAUCGGCUAACUCCGUGCCAGCAGCCGCGGUAAUACGGAGGAUCCGAGCGUUAUCCGGAUUUAUUGGGUUUAAAGGGAGCGUAGAUGGGUUGUUAAGUCAGUUGUGAAAGUUUGGGGCCCAACCGUAAGAUUGCAAUGGAUACUGGCAGUGUUGAGUAGCUGAGAGGUAGGCGGAAUGCGCGGUGUAGCGGUGAAAUGCUUAGAUAUGGCGCAGAACGCCGAUUGCGAAGGCAGCUUACU